CCAGGACCUGUGGAAACAUGGAGAAAAGUCCACACUGGAGCAGAUUUGCUGGCAGGACUUGUGAAUGUGUGAGGGACAUAUUCUCAGGUGCCUUUCCCAGUACACACCUGAUCUGGGCUGCACAAAUGGAAUGGUUGUUUGUAUUUCUUUUGCAAAACCCAUGGGGAACACAUGUCGUGGCAAAAGUAGCAGUUUAUGGUGCUGGGAGAAUGAGAUCCUGUUGGCAACUAGGAGCUUCUAAUGGGCACAGAUGGCACAAUUUAAUCCUUAUCAGAGGGACAGGAGUUAUGUAGAAACUGGUGGUGUUUGUCUUGUGGUGUGGAGAAGAUUAAUGUGAAACAUCAUGCAGCCACUCAUUCAUUCCCCCCUACCCAGGUGAAGUGAGGAGGAGAUUCAGAAAAAGGCACACAAGCACUGGAAGUCACUGAAGAAGAGUAGGAAAAAAAAAAAGGAAAAAAGAGCAGGACAAUUUGGAAUUAAAUCAUUUUGGCAGGUGAGGGGACUUUCAACCUGGGUCAAACUAAUAUCAGUUGAAUGAUUUGGAAAGAAAAUCCUCGUGUGGCAAAUAUUUUCUCUUUCCUUUUAUCAAAGAUAUUUAUAGGUUUUAAUAAGUGCAAAGAUUCGCAUUCAGCAUCUAAUGCAGCAUUCUCUGUUGUGGUAACAAUGCUGAUAAUGCCAUAAAUAAAUUCAGUAGUCUGGAGUUGCUCAAGUGAUGAAAUCAUCUUCUUUUUUAGUUCUUCCUCUUGCUGGCCCAGCUACAUCUCUUGGUGCCACUAAAAGCAGGCAGACUUUUGAAGAAGUAUUAUACAGAUUGAGGUGGAAGAUGAAAUGUCAUGUCACAUAUACCCUCCUGGCUCUCAGCUGCUGAAAGCUGAUGUUCCAGGGCAUUUCCCUCCAUCAUUAGGAAAGGGCUAUUAUGGAGAUAACAUGGGUUGUGGUGAGGUUCGGUCGAACUGGAGGAGAAAAUGCAUGGAAAAGGGACCAGGGAAAAAUGGGCAAGAAGUAAAAGGUUAGAAGAAAAUUUGAUAUUGCAAGAAAUAGAGGAAAAUAAAAAAAAGGAGAGACUAAAAAGUAGGUUAAAAUGUCUAAGGAAAAGGGUUGGGAGGGAGGGAAGAGAAAGGGAAGGAAGUAUUGAAGGUUAGUUUGAGAAGUUUGCUGACACUCUCAAAAAAUGUGUAGUAUCAGGAAUUCCCCAGAAAUUCCCAACUCUACAAACAGAAGACAGGCAAUGGCUGAAAAAGUUGGUCUUAUUUUAAUUAAAUGUUUAUUUAAGUCUAACAUAUUUAAAAAUUAUAAUUGGUUUCCCCCAGCAAUGCCCUUAACCAAGCCCCUUCACAAAGAUCUUUGAAAAGCAGUCAACUCAUGAAAAAUCCCACUUGGCAACCCUUUUUCCCUGAAAAAGGAGCUUACCGAAAUCUUCAAAGGCCAGAAUCUGGCAUAGUUUUCUCUUGAGUAAAGUUAACUCUGUGAGUUGAAGCCCCGCCAGGCAGUGCGAUGUGCUCCAGCUCGCUGCACGCGUGGUCUCUGUGUGCCCAAACCCAUGGGCAGGAGUGACUGACCUUUCUGCCCAGUGACACCUCAUCCCAUGCCACCUGCCCCUGCCUGAGGAGCCUCAUUUUUGUGCAUGGCCCACGUGGCAAACUGCAGCUGCAGCCAGGAUGGAUGGAUGAGGUUAGUACCAAGGCAGCUGCAUGGUGUAACCCAUCCCUGCCCUCGGACUGUUCAGUGUCCAGCUGCGGCAGCGCAGGGCGUGUUCUAUCAGCAGGUUUGUGAUCCCACAGGGAGAACAAAUACAUGAACUUUCAAUGAGCUUUAUUCUGCCAAAGCUGAUCCUCUCCCACUGCCCUUCGGUGUGGGCAGACAUUCCCUGCAGCACUGGAUGAAAUAUAAGGUGCCAUAACUGUGCACCUGAGCAGGUUUUCAUCCAGACACCACAGAGUUAAGGCUGGGUUUAAAUGAUUGUUUCUUGGACAGGACUUCUGAUGACUGUGAUCAAUGUUGAUGUGUAAGAGCAAACCUUUCAGAAUAAAGAAUAUAAAAUCCUAUUACUCUGCAAUUAAAAUCCACAGGGAUGUUUAGAGAAAAUUAAAAUUCAUGUCCUUGUUGCUACCUGUAAAAAUGGAUGGAGCGACUUGUUGCCUGAAAGCUCAAAUGGACUGCAAAACUUCUAAAUGAGGCGGAUGUUGGGAAACCACAGCUCCAGAGUUCUGAAAUUCAGGCUCUUUUCAUGCAUUCUAGAAUGGACCACCAUUGUUCUGAUUUAAUUUGGUAUAGACUGUUCUGACUCAUCAGCUGAAGUAUCCUUCUUCAAGAGGCUUGGCCAUGGAGACUACCAUUUCAUAAAUACCUUCCAUUUCCCAUCAGCUUUGCCCUGUCUUGAGCAUGCACAAUGGAGAAGGAAAGGCCCAGGAGUUACCAAUUACUCAAUAAAGGAGAAAGAACAUUCCUGUGUCUGCCAUGGAACAGUACAAAACAGCAAAGAAGAAAAGCAUGUGUUGUAUUUGUGGUCAACCAGGACAGCAAAAGGAGAGGAAGCCCCAAGAUUAACAGAAAAAAAAAAUCUGAUUUGUAAUGGCCACAAUAACUAGAUGGAAAAAAGCCACCAUGUAUUUCAAUUCCAGUUAAAUUAAAUCAUGUUUCUGCCUAA